UACGGGUCUAAUGUGGUGCUUUAAGCAG
rnacentral:sRNA from 1 species